GAUGAACGCUGGCGGCGUGCCUAAUACAUGCAAGUCGAGCGAACAGACGAGGAGCUUGCUCCUCUGACGUUAGCGGCGGACGGGUGAGUAACACUUGGAUAACCUACCUAUAAGACUGGGAUAACUUCGGGAAACCGGAGCCACUACCGGAUAAUAUAUUGAACCGCAUGGUUCAAUAGUGAAAGACGGUUUUGCUGUCACUUAUAGAUGGAUCUGCGCCGCAUUAGCUAGUUGGUAAGGUAACGGCUUACCACGGCAACGAUGCGUAGCCGACCUGAGAGGGUGAUCGACCACACUGGAACUGAGACACGGUCCAGACUCCUACGGGAGGCAGCAGUAGGGAAUCUUCCGCAAUGGGCGAAAGCUUGACGGAGCAACGCCGCGUGAGUGAUGAAGGUCUUCGGAUCGUAAAACUCUGUUAUUAGGGAAGAACAAAGGUGUAAGUAACUGUGCACGUCUUGACGGUACCUAAUCAGAAAGCCACGGCUAACUACGUG
rnacentral:rRNA from 1 species